rnacentral:rRNA from 1 species
UACGGAGGGGGCUAGCGUUGUUCGGAAUUACUGGGCGUAAAGCGCACGUAGGCGGCUUUGUAAGUUAGAGGUGAAAGCCCGGGGCUCAACUCCGGAAUAGCCUUUAAGACUGCAUCGCUUGAACACGGGAGAGGUGAGUGGAAUUCCGAGUGUAGAGGUGAAAUUCGUAGAUAUUCGGAAGAACACCAGUGGCGAAGGCGGCUCACUGGACCGUUGUUGACGCUGAGGUGCGAAAGCGUGGGGAGCAAACAGG